UGGCUCAGGACGAACGCUGGCGGCGUGCCUAAUACAUGCAAGUCGAGCGAGUGAAAUUAAUUGAUCCCUUCGGGGUGACGUUAAUGGAUCUAGCGGCGGACGGGUGAGUAACACGUGGGCAACCUGCCUGUAAGACUGGGAUAACUCGCGGAAACGCGAGCUAAUACCGGAUAACACUUCGAACCACAUGGUUUGAAGAUGAAAGGCGGCGCAAGCUGUCACUUACAGAUGGGCCCGCGGCGCAUUAGCUAGUUGGUGAGGUAACGGCUCACCAAGGCGACGAUGCGUAGCCGACCUGAGAGGGUGAUCGGCCACACUGGGACUGAGACACGGCCCAGACUCCUACGGGAGGCAGCAGUAGGGAAUCUUCCGCAAUGGACGAAAGUCUGACGGAGCAACGCCGCGUGAGUGAUGAAGGUUUUCGGAUUGUAAAACUCUGUUGUUAGGGAAGAACAAGUACAAUAGUAACUGAUUGUACCUUGACGGUACCUAACCAGAAAGCCCCGGCUAACUACGUGCCAGCAGCCGCGGUAAUACGUAGGGGGCAAGCGUUGUCCGGAAUUAUUGGGCGUAAAGCGCGCGCAGGCGGUCCUUUAAGUCUGAUGUGAAAGCCCACGGCUUAACCGUGGAGGGUCAUUGGAAACUGGAGGACUUGAGUGCAGAAGAGGAGAGUGGAAUUCCACGUGUAGCGGUGAAAUGCGUAGAGAUGUGGAGGAACACCAGUGGCGAAGGCGACUCUCUGGUCUGUAACUGACGCUGAGGCGCGAAAGCGUGGGGAGCGAACAGGAUUAGAUACCCUGGUAGUCCACGCCGUAAACGAUGAGUGCUAGGUGUUAGGGGGUUUCCGCCCCUUAGUGCUGAAGUUAACGCAUUAAGCACUCCGCCUGGGGAGUACGGCCGCAAGGCUGAAACUCAAAAGAAUUGACGGGGGCCCGCACAAGCGGUGGAGCAUGUGGUUUAAUUCGAAGCAACGCGAAGAACCUUACCAGGUCUUGACAUCCUCUGACCACCCUAGAGAUAGGGCUUUCCCUUCGGGGACAGAGUGACAGGUGGUGCAUGGUGUCGUCAG
rnacentral:rRNA from 1 species